rnacentral:misc_RNA from 1 species
AGGGUUCUGGGGCGGGUGUGUUCGUUCCUGGAGUUAGGCGAGGCAGAAGGAGAGCCCGUAUAACAAAGAUCCAUCGAGACCGGUUUCGUGUUCUGCCCUUUUUUCCUUCUUCUCCAAGAAGCCCCGCCGUGCGUCGGGUGUGAAAACCGACACCCACCCACUUGUUAUUUUGUCAAACACAAGCUCUCAAAAUUAUAGGAAUCAUGCUCGUGGAGUUGAUCCCGCGAGUAGGACGCGCGACCAGAAAACUAUACCAACGCGAUUUUACAUUAGCUGGAGUGCAUGCACACCGCAUGAACGUGAAUACGUGGAGAUGCAAAUCAUUAAGUUAUUUCAAAGUCGUUAUAGAUUCAUUAUCAUUAUCGUGAAAAGCUAUAUAAAUUGAAAAGAAAA